rnacentral:rRNA from 1 species
GGCGUAGAGAAAUCGAGUGUUAACAGCGCGUUAAGUUACAUGAAUUAGACCCGAAACCGAGUGAUCUAGCCAUGAUCAGGUUGAAGGUUGGGUAACACCAACUGGAGGACCGAACCCACUCCCGUUGAAAAGGUAGGGGAUGAAUUGUGGCUAGGGGUGAAAGGCCAAUCAAACUCGGAAAUAGCUGGUUCUCCGCGAAAACUAUUUAGGUAGUGCGGUGAGCGGACACCUUGAGGGGUAGAGCACUGGAAGAGCUAAGGGGGAGCGAUCCUUACUAAACUUUACCAAACUCCGAAUACUCAAGAGUGAUACUCACCAGACAGACAUUAGGUGCUAAGGUCUAGUGUCGAGAGGGAAAGAGCCCAGACCGCCAAUUAAGGUCCCAAAAUUAUGGCUAAGUGGUAAAGGAAGUGAAACGUCCAAAACAGUCAGGAGGUUGGCUUAGAAGCAGCCAUCCUUUAAAGAAAGCGUAAUAGCUCACUGAUCUAAACAAGACGUCUUGCGCCGAAGAUGUAACGGGGCUAAAGCCAUAUACCGAAGUUGCGGAUUUACACGUUAAAGUGUAAGUGGUAGCGGAGCGUUCUGUAAGCCUGCGAAGGUGUACCGUAAGGUAUGCUGGAGGUAUCAGAAGUGAGAAUGCUGACAUGAGUAGCGAAAAGAAGAGUGAGAGACUCUUCCGCUGAAAGUCCAAGGUUUCCUGCGUAAAGCUAAUCUGCGCAGGGUUAGUCGGUCCCUAAGGCGAGGCAGAGAUGCGUAGUCGAUGGCAAUCAGGUUAAUAUUCCUGAACCGGUCCGGAAGUGACGGAUUGAGUAAAUUGUAAGUUCUUAUUGGAUUGAGCUUGCAGUGAAUCAGUCCCAGGAAAUAGCCCGGGCUAAGACCGUACCCGAAACCGACACAGGUGGACAGGUAGAGAAUACCAAAGCGCUUGAGAGAACUAUGUUGAAGGAACUAGGCAAAAUGACUUGCGUAACUUCGGGAUAAGCAAGCCCCAUUUUAAGGCAACUUAGGGUGGGGGGCACAUACUAGGGGGUAGCGACUGUUUACUAAAAACACAGGGCUCUGCUAAAUUGAAAGAUGAAGUAUAGGGUCUGACGCCUGCCCGGUGCUGGAAGGUUAAGGAGAGAUGUGCGAGCAUUGAACUGAAGCCCCAGUAAACGGCGGCCGUAACUAUAACGGUCCUAAGGUAGCGAAAUUCCUUGUCGGGUAAGUUCCGACCUGCACGAAUGGCGUAACGACUUCCCCGCUGUCUCCAACAUAGGCUCAGCGAAAUUGAACUCUGAGUUAAGAUGCUCAGUACCCGCGGUUAGACGGAAAGACCCCGUGAACCUUUACUAUAGCUUUGCAGUGGUAUUAGGUAACGAAUGUGUAGGAUAGGUGGGAGGCUAUGAAGCUAUGACGCUAGUUGUAGUGGAGCAGCUGUUGAAAUACCACCCUUUUGUUGUUUGAUAUCUAACCUGCUCCCGUCAUCCGGGAGAGGGACACUGCAUGGUGGGUAGUUUGACUGGGGC